GACGAACGCUGGCGGCGUGCUUAACACAUGCAAGUCGAACGGAAAGGCCCUGCUUGCAGGGUACUCGAGUGGCGAACGGGUGAGUAAAACGUGGGUGAUCUGCCCUGCACUUCGGGAUAAGCCUGGGAAACUGGGUCUAAUACCGGAUAGGAGCCCUUUUUAGUGUGAUGGUUGGAAAGUUUUUUCGGUGUAGGAUGAGCUCGCGGCCUGUCAGCUUGUUGGUGGGGUAAUGGCCUACCAAGGCGGCGACGGGUAGCCGGCCUGAGAGGGUGGACGGCCACAUUGGGACUGAGAUACGGCCCAGACUCCUACGGGAGGCAGCAGUGGGGAAUAUUGCACAAUGGGCGCAAGCCUGAUGCAGCGACGCCGCGGGGGGGAUGACGGGCUUCGGGUUGUAAACUCCUUUCGCUAGGGACGAAGCUGUUUGUGACGGUACCUAGAUAAGAAGCACCGGCUAACUACGUG
rnacentral:rRNA from 1 species